rnacentral:rRNA from 1 species
AMCAUGCAGUCGAACGAUGAAGCCCAGCUUGCUGGGUGGAUUAGUGGCGAACGGGUGAGUAACACGUGAGUAACCUGCCCUUAACUCUGGGAUAAGCCUGGGAAACURGGUCUAAUACCGGAUAGGAGCGUCCACCGCAUGGUGGGUGUUGGAAAGAUUUAUCGGUUUUGGAUGGACUCGCGGCCUAUCAGCUUGUUGGUGAGGUAAUGGCUCACCAAGGCGACGACGGGUAGCCGGCCUGAGAGGGUGACCGGCCACACUGGGACUGAGACACGGCCCAGACUCCUACGGGAGGCAGCAGUGGGGAAUAUUGCACAAUGGGCGMAAGCCUGAUGCAGCGACGCCGCGUGAGGGAUGACGGCCUUCGGGUUGUAAACCUCUUUCAGUAGGGAAGAAGCGAAAGUGACGGUACCUGCAGAAGAAGCACCGGCUAACUACGUGCCAGCAGCCGCGGUAAUACGUAGGGUGCGAGCGUUAUCCGGAAUUAUUGGGCGUAAAGAGCUCGUAGGCGGUUUGUCGCGUCUGUCGUGAAAGUCCGGGGCUUAACCCCGGAUCUGCGGUGGGUACGGGCAGACUAGAGUGCAGUAGGGGAGACUGGAAUUCCUGGUGUAGCGGUAAAU